rnacentral:rRNA from 1 species
GAUGAACGCUAGCGAUAGGCUUAACACAUGCAAGUCGAGGGGCAGCAUGGUCUUAGCUUGCUAAGGCUGAUGGCGACCGGCGCACGGGUGCGUAACGCGUAUGCAACUUGCCUCACAGAGGGGGAUAACCCGUCGAAAGACGGACUAAUACCGCGUACACUCUAUGUUGGGCAUCCAAUGUAGAGGAAAUGAAAUUCGCUGUGAGAUAGGCAUGCGUCCCAUUAGCUAGUUGGUGAGGUAACGGCUCACCAAGGCGACGAUGGGUAGGGGAACUGAGAGGUUGAACCCCCACACUGGUACUGAGACACGGACCAGACUCCUACGGGAGGCAGCAGUGAGGAAUAUUGGUCAAUGGGCGAGAGCCUGAACCAGCCAAGUCGCGUGAAGGAUGACUGUCUUAUGGAUGGUAAACUUCUUUUAGACGGGAAUAACAAGAGUCACGUGUGGCUCCCUGCAUGUACCGUAUGAAUAAGCAUCGGCUAACUCCGUG